GGCAGAUCUUUAACCGACUGAGCCACCUAGGUGCCCUGAAAGUUUUAAUGUUCUUUACAGAGAAUCCUGUGGGAUCAUAUCUUUCUUAUUAAUGUGGGAAGCUGAGAAUUGUAAGUAAUUACAUAUUAAUCCUCUUUGGUAGCAGUGUUUGGUCCUUAAGAGUCUAACUUUCCAGUAAGAAAUACAAAUAUAUUUUAUUGUUAAUAUGUUUUGUUUUUUUGUUUAAGCGGUAAUAUUAGAUUUGUUUUUCAGAACCAUGUUUAUUGAAAGAAAACAGGUAACUAAAAAAUACAGCUUCAGUAUUCAGUUUAUAAAACUUGGACCUCAAAGGGACAGUUUAAGAUAGAGGUAUAGAAAGAUCCUGAACUCGCCUCCUCUCAUGGACACAACACAUCUGCAGCUACAUUUGGAAUAAUUUCCUCUGAAAAAGGUCUGAAAACUACAUGAACAGUUCCUCCACAGCAAAGGAUAAAAGGACCAUGCCGAGAUGAGAAGCAGGGCUACACUAUUGCUAAAAACUGCACCCUCUGUACAAUGACCCCAAAUCAGGAGGGAUCUUAAAAAUCUUUUCCUUGAGGAGCAAGGAGGAGCAACCUUUUCCCCUGAGGUGGGAUCUUUCCCUUGUGCCAAUCCUUGGAUCCUGCACCAUUGAAACAAGCCCCCAAAAUGUAAGACCAGUGGGGAUUAUGUCUAGGAGAACUGAAGAACUAUAGGGAAUGGAGAAGGAGAACCCUGCUCUUAAAGGGCUUGUGUGUAGACCACUUGCCCCAGGACACAGCAAAAAUGAGCAUACUGAAAAGUGCCUAGACUAUUAUGUGAAGGAGAAAGUUUUAAUCUUUAAUCUUAAAAGGACUGCCAGAAAGGCAGGAACCUGUUCGGACUCUCUCUGGGAACAGAAUUGCUGGUAGGUACUACUUUUGUCAUCUCAUUCUCCCUUGCUCAUGCUAGCUUUGGUAGACCCCAUUUUGGCAAUCUCCUUCUUAACCUGCUAGUGUAGGUGGGUGCACCCCACUGCCAUGUGCCAUGUUAUAGCCAGCCUGCAAGCAUCUCAUACACCUUUGAGCUCCGGUUGCACUAUAACUGAUUGGGCAAGUUCCCUGCCUCUCUGUGCCAUAGUCAGCUGGGCAAGUGUUCCUCAGUCCCCACACUGCAGCUUUAUAGCUGGUAGUUGUGCUCAGUCCACAUGGGGGACGCCCUUUGAAUGCCUAGUUCUGAUUUCUGGGUGGGAUGGAGAUUGCACUUUUGAGCCCCACAGGUUAUUUCCUGCAAAAGGCCACUCUUGCAAGACUGUGAGAGGUAGCUGUUACACUGAAUACAAAGAAUAAACUGAGAGAACCAGGUAAAAUGAUUAGACAGAGAAAUAUGUUCUAAUCAAAAGAACAAGACAGAACUUCAGAAAACGACUUCACUGGGCUCCAUUGCUGUGCAUGGAGCCUACUUAAAAAGAAAAAAAAAAAAAGACUUCACUGAAAUGUAGGUAAGCAAACUACCUGAUAAAGGAUUCAAAGUAAUAGUUCUAAAUAUGCUUACUGAAUUUAGGAGGGAAAUGGAUGAACACAGUGAGAACUUCAAAAAAUGUGGGAUAUAUAAGAAAGUAGCAAAUAGAAGUCACAGAGUUGAAGAAUACAGUAACUGCACUGGAAAAUAUAUUAGGAUUUCAACAGCAGACUGGAUGAAGCAGAAGAAUGGAUUAGUGAACUGGAAGACGAAGCAAUGAGACUCAGACAGCUGCAAAAAAGAAUUUUAAAAAGUAAAGAUACCUUAAGGGACCUUUGUGUCAUUAUAAAGGUCCUAGAAAGAGAGGGAGAGAAAGGGGCAAAAAAUUUAUUUGAAGAAAUAAUGGUGAAAACUUCCUCUGUAUGGGGAGGUAAAUAAGCACGCAGAUAAAGAGAAUACACCAGGAUGUAUUAUAAUUAAAAUGUCAAAAGUUAAAGAGAUACUUAAAACCGUCAAGAGAAAACAGCACUUUAUAUACAAGGGAAACCCCAUAACACUAUUAGCAGAUUUUUCAGCAGGAACUUUCCAGGUCAUAAGAGAGUGUUGUGAUAUAUUCAAAGUACUGAAAGGAAAAAACUUGCAACCAAGAAUACUGUACCUGGCAAAGUUAUCUUUUAGAGUAGUAAUUUUUCAGUUAAGCAAAAGCUAAUGGAGUUCAUCACAACUAAAUCAGCUUUACAAGACAUAUUGAAGGAAUUUCUUUAAGCUCACAGUAAAUGGCACUAAUUAAUGGUUAAAAAAACAUAGUAAAAUAAAAAUCUUACUGGAAAAGGUAAAUAUACAAUAAAGGUGAUGGUUUAAUUACUUAUAAAACUAGUAUGAAGGUCAAGAGACAAAACUAAAACUAUAAUAACUUAUUAAGGGAUAUAUAAAAUAAAAAUAUAUAAACUAUAGCAUCAAAAACAAAACAUUGUGGGGUGAAUAAAGAUGUACAGUUUUGGAAUAUAUUCAAGUGUGUUGCUGUCAACUUAAAAUAGACUUAAAGUCAGAGGAUGUUAUAUGUGAACUUCAUGGUAACCACAAAGCAAAAAUUUAUAGUAAAUAUACAAAAGAAAAUGAAAAAGGAAUCUAAACAUGACACUGAGAAAGUUAUAUGAAGAAUGUUAACACAAGUGAAGAAAAAAAGAAAGGAACAGAGAGGAACUACAAAACCAGCCAGAAAACAAUUAAUAAAAUGGCAAUAAGCACACACCUAUCAGUAAUUUUUUUUAAAGUAAAUGAACUGAUUCUCCAGUCAGAACACAUAGAGUGGCUGAAUGGAUUAAAAAAAAAAGACUUAAGCUGUAUGCUGGCUAUAAGAGACUUACUUCAGAAUAAGGACACACACAGACUGAGAGUAGAGGAUUGGAAAAAGAUAUUCCAUGCAAAUGGAAAUGAAAAGAAAGUUGAUGUAGAUGUACUCCUAUCAGAUACAAAAUGGACUUUAAAACAAGAAUGUAAUUAAAAGGGCAAUACACAAUAAAGUGGUCAAUUUAUGAAGAAGAUAGAGCAUUUAUAAUAUAUAUGCACUCAGCUUAGAAGCACUAAAAUAUAUAAAGCAAAUAUUGUGAGACCUAAUGAGAGAAUUUAACAGCACAUUAACAGUAGAGGAUGUUAAUACCCCACUCUUAUCAAUGGAUAGAUUAGACAGAAUUGGUAAGGAAACAUUGGUCUUGAAUGAUACGUUAGAUGGACUUAAUAUAUAUGUAUACAUAUAUAUACACACACAUAUAUAGAUAAUAUAUAUGUAUACAUAUGUAUAUAUAUGCAUAUAUAGAUAAUAUAUAUAGAAAUAUAGAGAACAUGUCAUCCAAAAGUAGCAGAAUACAUGUUUUUCUCAAGUCUACACAAAACAUUAUCCAGGAUAGAUUACAAUAUGCCACAAAACACCUUUCAGUAAGUUCAAGAAGAUCGAAAGCAUAUCAAGCAUUUUUUCAACCAUAGUGAUAUAAAACCAGAAAUCAAUUAUAAGUAGGAAAAUGGAAAAACCACAAAAUUGUGGAGGUUAGAGAACAUACCGCUGAACAGCCAGUUGGUCAUUGAGGACAUCAAAGAAGAAAUAAAAGUAUAUGUAGAAACAAAUGAAAACAGAAAUGUGACAUAACCACAAAUACGUCAUACCAAAAUGUUUGGGAUGCAGCAAAAGUGGUUAUAGAAGGGAAGUUCAUAGUAAUAGAGGCCUACCUCAAGAAACAUGAAAAAUUUCAUGAACAAUCUAACUUUAUGCCUAAAUAAAGUAGGG